GCCCGGGUAGCGCAAUUGGCUAGAGCGUAAGACUUUUAAUCUUAAGGUUGAGGGUUCGAGCCCCUCCUCGGGCG
rnacentral:tRNA from 2 species